rnacentral:rRNA from 1 species
UACGUAGGUCGCAAGCGUUGUCCGGAUUUACUGGGCGGAAAGAGCGCGCAGGCGGCUGGUCAAGUCCGAUGUGAAAUCUCCCGGCUCAACUGGGAAACUGCAUCGGAAACUGAUCGGCUUGAAGGUGGGAGAGGGUAGUGGAAUUCCCGGUGUAGUGGUGAAAUGCGUAGAUAUCGGGAGGAACACCAGUGGCGAAGGCGACUACCUGGCCCAUUCUUGACGCUGAGGCGCGAAAGCUAGGGGAGCGAACGGG